rnacentral:tRNA from 1 species
GGGCGGAUAGCUCAACGGUAGAGCGAUUGUCUUAUACACAAUUGGUUCCAGGUUCAAAUCCUGGUCCGCCCACCA